AACGUACGCUGGCGGCACGCCUAACACAUGCAAGUCGAACGAAGUAGCAAUACUUAGUGGCAGACGGGUGAGUAACAUGUAGGUAUCUGCCCUUUGGCCUGGAAUAACACGAGGAAACUUGUGCUAAUACCGGAUAAGUCUUUACGGAGAAAGCUUUAUGCACCAUUGGAUGAGCCUGCACUUGAUUAGUUUGUUGGUGGGGUAAUGGCCUACCAAGACUGUGAUCAAUAGCUGAUUUGAGAGGAUGAUCAGCCGCAUUGGGACUGAGACACGGCCCAAACUCCUACGGGAGGCAGCAGUGGGGAAUCUUGCACAAUGGAGGAAACUCUGAUGCAGCGAUGCCGCGUGAGUGAAGAAGGCCCUUGGGUUGUAAAGCUCUUUCGUCGGGGAAGAAAAUGACUGUACCCGAAUAAGAAGGUCCGGCUAACUUCGUGCCAGCAGCCGCGGUAAUACGAAGGGACCUAGCGUAGUUCGGAAUUACUGGGCUUAAAGAGUUCGUAGGUGGUUGAAAUAGUUGGUGGUGAAAUCCCAGAGCUUAACUCUGGAACUGCCAUCAAAACUUUUCAGCUAGAGUAUGAUAGAGGAAAGCAGAAUUUCUAGUGUAGAGGUGAAAUUCGUAGAUAUUAGAAAGAAUACCAAUUGCGAAGGCAGCUUUCUGGAUCAUUACUGACACUGAGGAACGAAAGCAUGGGUAGCGAAGAGGAUUAGAUACCCUCGUAGUCCAUGCCGUAAACGAUGUGUGUUAGACGUUGGAAAUUUAUUUUCAGUGUCGCAGGGAAACCGAUAAACACACCGCCUGGGGAGUACGACCGCAAGGUUAAAACUCAAAUGAAUUGACGGGGACCCGCACAAGUAGUGGAGCAUGUGGUUUAAUUCGAAGAUACGCGCAGAACCUUACCAACACUUGACAUGUUCGUCGCGACUCUAAGAGAUUAGAGUUUUCGGUUCGGCCGGACGAAACACAGGUGCUGCAUGGCUGUCGUCAGCUCGUGUCGUGAGAUGUUGGGUUAAGUCCCGCAACGAGCGCAACCCUCACUUUUAGUUGCCAUCAUUAAGUUGGGCACUCUGAAAGAACUGCCAGUGAUAAGCUGGAGGAAGGUGGGGAUGACGUCAAGUCCUCAUGGCCCUUACGUGUUGGGCUACACACGUGCUACAAUGGUAUCUACAACAGGAAGCAAGACUGCGAAGUUAAGCAAAUCCCUAAAAGAUACCUCAGUUCGGAUUGCACUCUGCAACUCGAGUGCAUGAAGCUGGAAUUACUAGUAAUCGUGGAUCAGCGUGCCACGGUGAAUGCGUUCCCGGGUCU
rnacentral:rRNA from 1 species